ACGAACGCUGGCGGCGUGCCUAACACAUGCAAGUCGAGCGGAGACAGUGAGUAGCUUGCUACGAGCUGUUUUAGCGGCGGACGGGUGAGUAACGCGUGAGCAACCUUUCCCAGACAGGGGAAUAACACACCGAAAGGUGUACUAAUACCGCAUAAGACCACGGGAUCACAUGGUUCUGGGGUAAAAGAUUUAUCGGUUUGGGGUGGGCUCGCGUCCGAUUAGGUAGUUGGUGAGGUAACGGCCCACCAAGCCGACGAUCGGUAGCCGACCUGAGAGGGUGAUCGGCCACAUUGGGACUGAGACACGGCCCAAACUCCUACGGGAGGCAGCAGUGGGGAAUAUUGGGCAAUGGAGGAAACUCUGACCCAGCAACGCCGCGUGGAGGAAGAAGGUUUUCGGAUCGUAAACUCCUGUCCUUGGAGACGAGUAGAAGACGGUAUCCAAGGAGGAAGCCCCGGCUAACUACGUGCCAGCAGCCGCGGUAAUACGUAGGGGGCAAGCGUUGUCCGGAAUAAUUGGGCGUAAAGGGCGCGUAGGCGGCUCGGUAAGUCUGGAGUGAAAGUCCUGCUUUUAAGGUGGGAAUUGCUUUGGAUACUGUCGGGCUUGAGUGCAGGAGAGGUUAGUGGAAUUCCCAGUGUAGCGGUGAAAUGCGUAGAGAUUGGGAGGAACACCAGUGGCGAAGGCGACUAACUGGACUGUAACUGACGCUGAGGCGCGAAAGUGUGGGGAGCAAACAGGAUUAGAUACCCUGGUAGUCCACACUGUAAACGAUGAAUGCUAGGUGUAGGGGGUAUCGACCCCUUCUGUGCCGCAGUCAACACAAUAAGCAUUCCGCCUGGGGAGUACGGCCGCAAGGUUGAAACUCAAAGGAAUUGACGGGGGCCCGCACAAGCAGUGGAGUAUGUGGUUUAAUUCGACGCAACGCGAAGAACCUUACCAGGUCUUGACAUCGUAUGCAUAGCUCAGAGAUGAGUGAAAUCUCUUCGGAGACAUAUAGACAGGUGGUGCAUGGUUGUCGUCAGCUCGUGUCGUGAGAUGUUGGGUUAAGUCCCGCAACGAGCGCAACCCUUAUCUUCAGUUACUAACGCGUAGAGGUGAGGACUCUGAAGAGACUGCCGGGGACAACUCGGAGGAAGGUGGGGACGACGUCAAAUCAUCAUGCCCCUUAUGACCUGGGCUACACACGUGCUACAAUGGCCACGACAGAGAGAAGCGAAAACGCAAGUUAGAGCGGAACUCAAAAAAGUGGUCCCAGUUCGGAUUGUGGGCUGCAACCCGCCCACAUGAAGUCGGAGUUGCUAGUAAUCGCGGAUCAGCAUGCCGCGGUGAAUACGUUCCCGGGCCUUGUACACACCGCCCGUCACACCAUGGGAGUUGGGAGUGCCCAAAGCCGGUGAGGCAACCGCAAGGAGCCAGCCGUCUAAGGCAAGACCAAUGACUGGGGUG
rnacentral:rRNA from 1 species